AUGGUAAUUAGUUUAAGCCAAAACAAAUGAUUUCGACUCAUUAGAUUAUGAAUCAUCUCAUAAUUAUC
rnacentral:tRNA from 1 species